UCCCACUCCAAACGAGCUUUUUUGGCUUCCCAAUUUGCAGGUAAUUUUAGUCUUUUAUCUUCUUCCACAACUUCCUGGUGAUUUAAUUUACGAGCUUCAUUCCGCAUCAGGUGCAGCUCCCGGAAUUUGCGCAGUCUCUGUUCGCGCUUCUGAGCGGCCAGCUCCGCCGCCGCAGCGAGGGACCCCUCCUCCGCGCUGUCCACCAGCACCUCGGAUGCAGCUAUAGCCGCCAUCACAACCUUUCUCUCUUCCCACUUCC
rnacentral:lncRNA from 1 species